rnacentral:lncRNA from 1 species
UUGCUUAAAGGUAAAGGUAUAGGGCACAUAAUAUGAAAAAAAAAAAAAAAAAUUCCCCCACAUAAAUGCACUGCCAAGGGUUCUAUAUAACUGACAACAAAGCAAGCCUUACUUGCUUCUUAUUCUGUAAUUAUCUUCACAAUCUAAAUCAUUAUGUGGUUGUAUAGUUGUAGUGAGACAUCACAUGGAAAAUUAAAUGACUAAUCCUAUACUUCUCGCCCUGUGCCUCAAUUGCAUAAUUACAUGUCCCUAUGUACGCCUUACGACCCCAUAGGAUUUGUGGUUGGUUCCACUCACGUCUCUUUGUUUUCUGGUUUUUUCUUCUCUUCAAAAUUUUUGAUUUCCCCCCUUUUCAUGGUGGAGCUUUAUGACCACUAUUUAACAUCUUGAAAAUGAAUUGAGUAUCAUAUUCUUACUUCUUGGGCUCCCUCCCAAAAUUCAUCAUCAGUUUGUUUGUCGCUUAAAGAAAGGUUUCUGGCAGACCAGCAAUCUCUCAUUACUGUUACUCUCAAUCUCCACAACUCGUGCAUCCCAUUUCAGCCUUGUUAUGAGCAUUCUUGCUGAAUCAAUAAGAGAAACGGUAUCCCGAAGUAUCACCCACCCCUGCAUGAAGCCAUCUACAUCAGUAAUUUUGAGAACAGAGCAUCAAAGGAGCAACCAGAAAAGAAAUCAAACGCUUCCCCUUAAUUCCCCACCUACCAAACGGCUAAAGCAAUAUAUACAGCAUGAAUGACAGUUUUGUAACUAGAAGACAGUAUAAAAGACAAGUUUUUAAGUUCAGGGCCACCACCUGCUCAACCUACAUAAAUCAAUCCAGCUGCAAAGUCAACCUAAUGUCACAGGAUGCUUCAAAUGACCCUCCCCAUGGGCUUAUAUAGGAGGAAGGAAGCUUCUGGAAACUCCUGGAGCCAUCUACACUAAGUCAUUGGUGGGAAGAGUGUGGAAGGUUCUAGAAAUGCCUAGAGAUGUCCACACAUCUCUACACUAUGGUGGAAGGCAUGGGAGGAGUCCAAGGCUUUCUAGAGACUUCUAGGAAUCUCUUGUAUAUUCUUGUACAUAGGGUUGUACAUAGAAUAGGGUAGGAUGUUCUAGAAUAUUCUUGAUUUGUAAGGGAACCCUCCAAGGUUCUAGAGAGUUCCCUUGGUGCCUAUAAAUAGGUGAGGGCCUCAUUUGGCCAAGGCACCACCCAAAUCACUUCCUAACCAAGCAAGUGAGCAUCCAAGCACUUGUAAAGGCUUUCUUGAGAUAAUAAAGCUUCCAUUCUUUAAGGAGUUGCCUACCAAGCUUCUUAAGCUUUUGAGUUGCAAGUGUCUUAGCCUAGCAAGCUAAGCAUUGGGGAGCAAGGCUGACUUAGCAAGAUCAAGCGUCUUGGCUUGUCUAAGUGCCGCACGAGCUUAGUGAACGACUAAGUCCGUGACAAGUGGUAUCAGAGCGCGGUUACNNNNNNNNNNNNNNNNNNNNNNNNNNNNNNNNNNNNNNNNNNNNNNNNNNNNNNNNNNNNNNNNNNNNNNNNNNNNNNNNNNNNNNNNNNNNNNNNNNNNGAAGCCACAUAGGUUUAGUGGCAAUCGGGAUGCCAAGGAGUUGGAUAACUUCUUAUGGCAUAUGGAGCGAUACUUUGAGGCUAUCGCAUUGACGGAUGAGGCGGCUAAGGUAAGAACUGCAACUCUCUACCUUACUGACACAGCUACUCUAUGGUGGCGUCGAAGGUUUGCCGAUAUGGAGAAAGGCAUUUGCACCAUAGAGACAUGGGAGGAUUUCAAGAGGGAGAUCAAAAAGCAGUUCUACCCCGAGGACGUGGCUUACCUGGCUAGGAAAAACAUGCGGCGUCUUAAGCACACAGGCUCAAUACGCGACUACGUCAAGGAAUUCUCUUCGCUCAUGCUUGAGAUUCCUAACAUGACUCAGGAGGAGCUGCUAUUCAACUUCAUGGAUAACCUGCAAGGGUGGGCCGAGCAGGAAUUAAGGCGCCGAUGUGUUCAAGACUUAGCCACUGCUAUGUCAGUAGCAGAAUCUUUAACGGAUUAUAAGAGGGGAGACUCCUCCAAGGUCGAGUCUUUGGAGGAUAGCCACGCCAUGGGUGGGGGAAACGAGGUUCCAAGGGACCACAAUGCUCCUAAAAAGGGAUCAGGCAAGACGUCUAACGUCCGGGAAGGAAGGGAUAAGGCGGAAAGGAAGGAGUUUACGCCAAAAAUCAAAUGCUUCCUAUGUGACGGACCACAUUGGGCACGGGAUUGUCCAAAGAGGAAGGCGCUCAGUGCCAUGAUCGAGGAGAGGGAGCAGGAGGACGAAGCACAUAUGGGCUCAAUGCAGCUACUAGGUGCCCUCCAAUUCAACCCGAAGCCUAGUACGCCUGAGACCUCCUUACUAGCAGGGGUGCAAGUAAAGGAGGAAAAAGGGGAGCGAGCUGAGGUAGCCCGCACACACAUGGAAGAGGUCACCAAGGGAAAGGUGAACUCAAUAGGUAAGAGGAAGCAGCACUCUAAGCAUUGGAAGCGCACGGGUCUGCAUCCAUCUGAAGCCUCACGGGAGAAGGAGGUGAAGAAUAUCCUGGCUGAACGGGUCACUAGGAGACAAGGGGUCCCUCCUGUGAUAGAGUAUCUAGUCCGAUGGGAAGGACUACCCAAGAGGCAGGUAAGUUGGGAACAUGCGGAUGCCUUGAGAAAAUUCUGGAAACACAUCGAGAAGUUUCAGAAUGAGGCAACGACGAGGACGUCGACGGCAUCGGUGGGGGAGAGUGUCACAGGAUGCUUCAAAUGACCCUCCCCAUGGGCUUAUAUAGGAGGAAGGAAGCUUCUGGAAACUCCUGGAGCCAUCUACACUAAGUCAUUGGUGGGAAGAGUGUGGAAGGUUCUAGAAAUGCCUAGAGAUGUCCACACAUCUCUACACUAUGGUGGAAGGCAUGGGAGGAGUCCAAGGCUUUCUAGAGACUUCUAGGAAUCUCUUGUAUAUUCUUGUACAUAGGGUUGUACAUAGAAUAGGGUAGGAUGUUCUAGAAUAUUCUUGAUUUGUAAGGGAACCCUCCAAGGUUCUAGAGAGUUCCCUUGGUGCCUAUAAAUAGGUGAGGGCCUCAUUUGGCCAAGGCACCACCCAAAUCACUUCCUAACCAAGCAAGUGAGCAUCCAAGCACUUGUAAAGGCUUUCUUGAGAUAAUAAAGCUUCCAUUCUUUAAGGAGUUGCCUACCAAGCUUCUUAAGCUUUUGAGUUGCAAGUGUCUUAGCCUAGCAAGCUAAGCAUUGGGGAGCAAGGCUGACUUAGCAAGAUCAAGCGUCUUGGCUUGUCUAAGUGCCGCACGAGCUUAGUGAACGACUAAGUCCGUGACACUAAGCUACCUAACCAAGUACUGUUUAAAAUAAGGUGAUGGUUCAUGAGUAAUUGAAUCCAACAAUUCUGCGGCAUCUGAAAGUGAAGUGUUAAUAUAUGUGCUAAAACACAUCUAAACAAAAAGAAUUUGAAUCAUGAAUAUAUAUUGGACAAAAAGAGGAAAAAAAAGAAAGCACGUCUGUUGCAUGACAAUGUCAGGAAGCUUAAAAAUGGCUUCUUCUGUGAAUUGAUGAGACUAACAAGAAUUCCCCCAGAACAGGAUUAAGAAAAGGUGUUUUAGAAGGUGCUUGCUCAGAAUAUAGGACGUUAACAAUACACACACACAUAUAUAAAUAAAUGACAUUAACAAGAACACCUAUUUCCCAAAGCCCCUAUUGCAUAAGACCUAUAGAAGCUGCUUCUUCAAUUAUAUUUUUCAUGGGUAAUAAAAUUUCAUUAAAAAUGCCAAAUGGCUCAACCUGAGCUGAUAAUCUUGUAAAAGAUUUUUAGUCCCAUCUUUCCUUUAAUUUCUACAAUUUAUUGAAUUAUGAGAUUUAUCAAUAUUGUAUUAAUGUACAUUGUAACCAUCUUCUUUAUGCACACCAAAGUCACACAAGAAUGAUAGAAUUUUAAAAUUAUGUAUCAUAACCCAUUAUAAAAGAAAGAGAAUUAUAAUACCCUCAUCUUACAAAUUUAUUAUUCAAACUACCAUGUUGGCAUAUGCCUAUUCAAUGAUCCUGCUCCAACUUAACUUUAGUAUUAAGAACAAGGAAAUCAAAGUGUAGCAACUGAACACAGAAUUAAAAAGAAAGAAUGGUUCAGGUACCUCUGGACGAAGUAACCGGUCUAUCUCUGUGAAUAGAUCGAGCAUGGUGCACCUGCGCUGCUGACUAGUUUCAAGAGAUAGAAGUCCAGCAGCAUGCACCAUAUCAUAAGUUCUAGGGUAUGUUGGAAAUGCUUCGCACCUAUAAAGGGAAAAAAUAGAUGAUAAGUAACACAAAAAUUAGAAAGAAAUAUACAAGUAGAAAUGUUACAAUGAUCUCCCAAGAUAGAUAAAUAUGUGAAAUAGAAAUCAAAACAUGAGAUAAACCAGAGCGUUUUAUCAUUUUCAUGAAUAAAAUCAAGAACUAUACAGCUUUUAGUGUUGCAAACAACUCCAGAGAUCAUCCCAUAUAAUUCAAUAAUUCCCACUAAAAAUAGCUCAAAAUUCACAUGCAGAAAUGAAUCAUCUGAACAAUUCCCAUAAUAUUCUGAAAGCCUGGAAAUGCAGCUGUCUUUUUUCUCUAAACAUAUAUUGCCUUUUAGAGCUUUAUGCUUUCACUCUGAAAAAAUUCAGAGAUAAUCAAAACCAACUUCAGGGUUCCAAAUUAAUCUAUUACUUCCAAUAACCAAUUAGGCUAUUGUGCUAUACAGUAGUUGUGCCCAUGAACUCAUUGAUUAAAAUCAUGGAAAUCCAAUUAAGUAUGAAUUUCUUUUCUGAUGAAAAGCUUCCAUGAAUUAUAAAACUAGGCAUUUGAAUCCUAGAUCAAGAAUGUCAAAGCCUCUUUGGUGAUAAUAGUGUUUGGUCGUGCGGUCAAAGACAACAGGCUAACAAAUCAUUCUGGACAAACAUACAUCUAAUUGAUCACUCUUACUGACCUACAGGGGAAAAGCAAGUCAGUGACUCUCAAUGUUCACCAGUUAAAUACAAAAGCUGAUAUCAUUAUAGUCACUGUAAAUCUUCAUGAACAGGAGGAAAAAAUGAAUUAAAAUUUGUUCAUGAUAGUGAAUAGUGAUUAAGAUUCCAGGUCAAGCAAGAAUUUCAAUAUUAGGAUUGGUAUUUAGAGAGGACAUAAACAGAGCACAUUCCCAAC